rnacentral:lncRNA from 1 species
UCCCGUUUACCCUGAUUCUCCCCCAACAAUCUCCAAGUAUCUCCUAGAACCCACCCUACCCACCCCGGCCCAAGACAUACAGACACACACACACACACACACACACACACACACACACACACACACACACACACACAGAGCCUUCCAGACCUUCUGUCUCCUUUCCUUUCCUCUGGGCCCUGACCCAGAGCCGGCUGAUCAAAUCCCCUUCUUCCACAGCUGGAGGAAGAGCAGCAGGCCCUCCAGAAGAAACUGAAGGGGACAGAGGAUGAGGUGGAAAAGUAUUCCGAGUCUGUGAAGGAUGCCCAGGAGAAACUGGAGCAGGCCGAGAAGAAGGCCACCGAUGCUGAAGCAGAUGUGGCUUCUCUGAAUCGACGCAUUCAGCUCGUAGAGGAGGAGUUGGAUCGGGCACAGGAGCGCCUGGCUACAGCCUUGCAAAAGCUGGAGGAGGCUGAGAAAGCCGCUGAUGAGAGCGAGAGAGGAAUGAAGGUCAUUGAGAACCGGGCCAUGAAGGAUGAGGAGAAGAUGGAGCUGCAGGAGAUGCAGCUGAAAGAAGCCAAGCACAUCGCUGAGGACUCAGACCGCAAAUACGAGGAGGUGGCCAGGAAGCUGGUGAUCCUGGAAGGAGAGCUGGAGCGCUCUGAAGAGAGAGCCGAGGUGGCUGAGAGCCGAGCCAGGCAGCUGGAGGAGGAGCUUCGAACCAUGGACCAGGCUCUCAAGUCGCUGAUAGCCUCAGAGGAGGAGUAUUCCACCAAAGAGGACAAAUACGAAGAAGAGAUCAAACUUCUGGAGGAGAAGCUGAAGGAGGCUGAGACCCGAGCAGAGUUUGCUGAAAGAUCUGUGGCAAAGUUGGAGAAAACCAUCGAUGACCUGGAAGAGACUUUGGCUAGUGCCAAGGAAGAGAACGUGGAGAUUCACCAGACCUUGGACCAGACCCUUCUGGAACUCAACAACCUGUAAGGGCUGGCCCUGCUACCUGCCGACCAGACUACAUAGAUGCCUCCUCAGGCCAAUAAACGGAUGUCUCUGGC